AACGACUCUCGGCAACGGAUAUCUCGGCUCUCGCAUCGAUGAAGAACGUAGCGAAAUGUGAUACUUGGUGUGAAUUGCAGAAUCCCGUGAACCAUCGAGUCUUUGAACGCAAGUUGUGCCCGAAGCCAUUAGGCCCAGGGCACGCCUGCCUGGGCGUCACGU
rnacentral:rRNA from 1 species